UUAAGGGAGAUUUCGUUUUUUUUUUGCAGUGCAGGAAGGAAAAUUCACUGACGAGAGACGAGAAGCUCCGCCUGACCCAGCAGCAACUCCCAUUUAAAAAAGCCACACAAGGCAAAGCUGUAGUUUCUGAAUGACACAAAUAACUACUGUAAUGUCAACUGUAGCACACUGUCUACGACAGCUAUAGAGUACAUGGAGAGGUCAGAAACAGAUAGCGCCCUGCAGUAUUUACCAGCCUUCAGAUACCAGCAGAUCAUCAGAGGGAUACACAGCCUGCCACCCUGAAAAGGCAUUUUCCAUGUGCAGCUCAAGCAUGAAUGCAGGAGAGUGCGCUUAGCUGAGAAAAUCAUCCUCCCCUCCUGAAGACUCCUGAGAUGUAUGACAGAAUUUGCCUAGGCAAGAAACCACAAGAACUUGGCCAACUUUCUAAAUCUCUUCAAGUUGACACAGGAGAAAAGAGCUGGGGAAUCUAUGAAUGGUAUAAAGAAGUUCUAAGCUGCAUUUGCUAUUCAACUGUCAGUCCCCAGUUUGAAGCCCCAUGCAUAAAUGGCACGCCAGUCUAGUUUGCAUAUAUGUGCAUGAUGGGAUUGCUCACCACUGAACAAACGGACAGACAUUCCACGCGGUGCUGCGUCAUUCCAAGACAGCGGGGACAGAACAAAAUUCCUACAGCUGACACUGCUAGUUUACACCACUCAACAGCUGAAGACUGGAGGGCCUUGUAACAUUAGAUCAUAAACUGAAUGAUGGUGACACUGAAUAACAAUACAUAGCCUACACAACUAUGAUGGACAUUAUUAAGCCAUUUCCUUCUUUAAUAAACUCAUAACAUGCA